rnacentral:tRNA from 1 species
CUAGUAAAUACACAUAUUAGACUUAAAAUCUGUUGCCCGCAAGGGCGUGCCGGUUCGAUUCCGGCCUAGCGCACCA